UUUUUUUUUUUUUUGUUCGAAAAUUGACUUGAAUGUUUGAAGGUUCAUAUCACUCUGCUUGCAGUUUGUAUGUAAGACAGUGCAGAAUUAUCGGUGUCUAUAUCAAAGCAAGACCAAAGCUUCUGCCAGUAUCUUCCUGCCAUUUUCAUUAGCAUACAUGUAUGCAUAUAUUCCAACAUUCAGGUUUGUACGUGCGUUUUUGCUUAAGCAUCAUUAGCUUAUGUGUAUUUUAACGUUGUUGACUUUGCAUAGAUGACAUUUGAAAUGUUUAUUCAUCAACUUGAGUGUUAUUAUUUCAAACCCUGGAUAUACAAUAUAUCUAUUCCCGCCCUCUUCAUAGUUUGCUUUCAACAACAUUUGAAAGUUGAAACAAGUCCACAUUAUUUAGCUCCUUAGAUCAGCAUCAGCUCAACAUUUUCAUUAACUUGAGAAUUAAAUCAAAUGUGCAUGUAGAUAUUGAGAUCGGCCUGAAUAGCAUUCCCUUACCGAUAACCAAACACAGCCGUCGGCUUGCCCAUAGUUGCCUUCCGGAUAGUAAAUUUUUGGUUUGCUGCUGCAGUUUCUCACUUUUUCCAUUCGUAGGGUUUUGCAAUUUUCUCAGUUUAAUUGGCUUCUGCAAGCUUUCAUGGUUCAUACAUAUUAUGUUGGUUGAAUUAAAAACGUAGAUGCACAUCACCAAGUCAACCUAGCCACUUCAGUCUUAUCUUUGGUGGCAUAUGGCCGCCACAAUAUUUUAUAACUUUGAGAAAAAUGCCAAAGCUAAUCUAAUCCAUUGUCUUAUUUUUUUUUUUUGGCAAGGUUGUCUGUUUUCUUUUUUUGUUUCUUCCCUUUUGGAUGCAAAUGUGAAUCGUAGAAUUUAGUAUGAUAAUAUGAUGACAUGUAAAAGAUAAAGCUGUAUUGUUUAAAUUUCAGGCGGUUCAGGUACUCAAUAGAGUGAUAAGGUUCCUAACUCUAGCUAAGCUAGCUUCUUAGACUAUUUUUGUCUAACACAGGUUUUUUGUGCCAGUAUCCUUUCACCUCUGCCUCACUGACUAAAGGUAUUGCCUCUCAAUUACAAUGUUGAUGUCUGGGUUUUUAUACACUUGGUGUUAGGCUACAAAUUGUGUGAUAGUUCAUUGGAUAGUUUGUCUCCUUCUCAUUUACUAACUCGGCAGAUGGGGUGAUUGCAAUUUGAGUUUGUUUAGGUCUCUAGGUUUGUUUGUGUUGUUUGUGUUUUGUUCAUUGCAUUGUUCCUGUCAUGAUUUGGGGUCAGUUUGGUUUUAUUGUUUACUGAUUGUGGUCAUUGGGUUAAUUGUAAUGAUAAAGAGCACUAAUAAAUAAGGACGGUUCUCCUUCGGAAGUCGGUUUUCUCUGUUGUUGGGUUUUCUGGAUAUUUAGGUGUUGGUUGGUGCAUUGGCUUCUUUAUUUAUGACAGUCUAGAUAUGUCCAAUUUCGCUUGCUUUUAAAUAGGUACUCCAGAGAUGUGUUUUGUAGGAACUGUAUGAUUGAACUCGGGCAGAUGGGUUCCUGAUUCCAAUCUUGGUUCUUUUAUCACAUCCAGGUUUCCUGAGUAGCUGGCCUUCACUUUCAUUUUGUGCUGUCAAUGUAUAAUUAGGGUUUGGGGUAAUUGGUCCGGAUUGAAUUUGGCUUCCCACCUAAUCAGUCACACCUUUGGUUCAUGUUUGUAAUUCUAUGUUUUCAGGAUUUUUCUUCUGAUUGUAUUAUUGGCUUCAUAUUUAACACAUGAUUGAUUAGUUGUUGUGUGUGUGCGUUAGAUCAAGAUUCUGAGAAUAAUCAGUUAGGAUAUUUUCAACCAAAUCAUAAAACGAAACUCAAAACUUGGUUAAUUCCAUUGUUGUGAUUGUUUAAGAUCCCUUUGUACUUUGAAAGCGAAUUUUGUUUACAGGAAUUCAUGAAAAACCUAUAGCUGUACUGAUUCAUUUGAUAAUUUUGCCAACAGUAAUUGCUUGGUCCGGGUAUAUGGUUUUUCCUAUGUUCAGUUUUGGUUGCAAUAUUGCUGACCAUUUGUUGUAAAUUCCUCAAUGUUAUCUGGCCGUUCACUAUUGGUGUGUAUAAGUAUUAGACCAUUUCAAUAUUAGUGUCUGUUCAUAAGUAGUUUUUAGGAAAUUCUCAUGCUUCCUUUUUUUUUUUAUGUGGUUCUGAUUUCUUUUUUCCUAGGUAUAUCAGUAUCAGAGUGGGGUAUGUUGUUGCUGAGGGUAACCAUUUUAGGAUCAGGGUGUUGCUGAGGGUGUCAUUUUGAUAAUCAUUGAGAUAUGUAAAUAUAUGAGAUUUGUGUGAUUAUCUGAAUUAUUAAUGUGUGUGAUCAUCUCUGUCCCUGGAUAACUAUUUGGGGCAACAUGGUAGCUUCCAUGUUGUGAGAAACUGCAACUGAUAGUGAGUUACUUCUCCUCAGGUUCUUUGUUUUCAUAAAUGUGUGGUUUUCUUGCUUGGUUAAGGUUACUUGAUUUUUGAACUGUUUUUCAGGGUAGACGAACAAAUGAUGCCUUAACUUUACAGGUACAACUUUACAGGUAUACCUUUUUUUUUGGUUUCUUUGCUCUAUCUGUGGCUCUCACUCUCAGGAAUGAAAGAUAAUUAGAAAAAUUUACUUCUGCAGAGAAAAUGAAUCAUUUGUUUUUCUAAUAUAAUAUAAAAUACAUCUUUUCAAAUUAAAAUUAAAGCUACCAUGUUCCUGCCUAUGAUCUAUGCAGGUUUAUGUUUGUGUAAACAAGGAAAAAGCAAGAAGAAGACGUUCGUAAUACACUUAGCAGCACUAUUCCUUAAAAUUAUCCCUUUUCAAUAUAUUUGCUUUACUGCGUUUGCCCAUUUGUGUUCAUGAUUACCUAUAUAUCCUGAUUCAGGGUAACCUGAGAUUUCAGUUGCAGAAGUGUUCAUUCGUUUCAGUGUGACCAGAGGCAUACUUUUACCUUAUAACUUAUAAUAACAAAGCAAUUGGAUGGUUUCAUCUACUGUCGGUGUGACGAGAGGCAUACCUAUACCCUAAAUUAUAAGAUGGUUUCAUCUUUAUGUAUCCAGUUUCAUAGAGUUCUUAACAGAAGAUGGUCCUUCAUGUAUCCUAUUCAAUAGCAAAGGCUCCCGUUAGUGGUUUAUAAAUUAUUAGAUGUUAUCACGUUGUUCAAUUUCAACUGUUUUAUUCCAUUUGCAUUUCCACUUCUACAUAUAAUUUUUUACAGUUUCCACUGUUUAGAAUGUUGCCUUAAUUAUUCUUGCUCUCCACAAUGAACCUUUAUAUAUAUUGUCCUUCCAGCUGGUAAGAAAAAAUUUAAUGAAUAAAACUGUCGUACUCCAUUAACACAGAACGUUCCAAAAAACCGCGGCUUGCCGCGGGCAUCAUCCUUGUGGUAUAUAUUGAAGGAUAAAAUACAAAAGGUGGGUACAUGGCAAGCUUUUUAUUGCUAUCUAGCAAGAGCAUGUGAUCGACUGACCUGACUAACAAAGCAAGGCAACGACAUAUAUGCCUGCAAAUUAUUAAAACAUCACCAACCAAUGCAAAGAUAAUAGCAUAUGAAAAAGACACGCACGUACGUAAACAUGGGUGGAACCACGAGGAAGAAGAAGCUUAAUUAG
rnacentral:lncRNA from 1 species